rnacentral:rRNA from 1 species
GACGAACGCUGGCGGCGUGCUUAACACAUGCAAGUCGAGCGGAGCGGCGAACGGGUGAGUAACGCGUGAGUAACUGCCCCCCUCUCUGGGAUAACAGUUGGAAACGGCUGCUAAUACCGGAUAGUGGGGGAUGACUCGCGUCCUAUCAGCUUGUUGGUGGGGUAGUGGCCUACCAAGGCGACGACGGGUAGCCGGCCUGAGAGGGCGACCGGCCACAUUGGGCUGAGAUACAGGCCGAAGUCCGACGGGGGGAAGCAGUGGGGGAUAUUGCACAAUGGGGGAAGCGCUGGUGCAGGAACGCCGCGUGGGGGAGGACGGCCUUCGGGGUGUAAACCGCGUUCAGCCAGGACGCGGUAGUGGCAGAAGAAGCACCGGCUAACUACGUGCCAGCAGCCGCGGUAAUAC